rnacentral:rRNA from 1 species
UGGUUAAGCAAUGAAGGGCGCACGGUGAAUGCCUUGGCACUAGGAGCCGAUGAAGGACGCGACGAACAGCGAUAUGCUUCGGGGAGCGGUAAGUACGCUAAGAACCGGAGAUUUCCGAAUGGGGGAACCCGAUACGGUUAGACCCGUAUCACUCGAAAGAGAGGUAGACGCAGAGAACUGAAACAUCUAAGUACCUGCAGGAAAAGAAAAUAAAUAAUGAUUCCCUAAGUAGCGGCGAGCGAACGGGGAAGAGCCCAAACCAGCGUGCAUGCACGCUGGGGUUGAAGGACUCCAGGAAAGACUGAAACACUUAGUCGAAGCCCAUGGGAAGGGGCGGCGAAGCGGGUGAGACCCCCUUAGACGAAAAGUGAGACAGCUUAGGAGUAUCCUGAGUACGGCGGGACACGAGAAAUCCCGUCGGAAUCCACCAGGACCAUCUGGUAAGGCUAAAUACUCCCUAGUGACCGAUAGUGAACCAGUACCGUGAGGGAAAGGUGAAAAGCACCCCGGGAGGGGAGUGAAAGAGUACCUGAAACCGUGUGCUUACAAGUAGUCAGAGCCCGUUAAGGGGUGAUGGCGUGCCUUUUGUAGAAUGAACCGGCGAGUGACGAUUUGUGGCGAGGUUAAGUUGAAGAAACGGAGCCGAAGCGAAAGCGAGUCUGAAUAGGGCGAGAGUCAAAGGUCGUCGACCCGAAACCAGGUGACCUACCCAUGUGCAGGUUGAAGGUGUGGUAAGACACACUGGAGGACCGAACUAGGACAUGUUGAAAAAUGUUUAGAUGACGUGUGGGUAGCGGAGAAAUUCCAAUCGAACUUGGAGAUAGCUGGUUCUCUCCGAAAUAUAUUUAGGUAUAGCCUCAGAGGAUGAGAGAUGGAGGUAGAGCACUGUUUGGACUAGGGGCCCAUACGGGUUACUGAAUCUAGAUAAACUCCGAAUGCCAACUUGUUAACUCUGGGAGUCAGACGGCGAGUGAUAAGAUCCGUCGUCGAAAGGGAAACAGCCCAGCCCACCAGCUAAGGUCCCAAAGUACUUGUUAAGUGGAAAAGGAUGUGGGGUUGCAUAGACAGCUAGGAUGUUGGCUUAGAAGCAGCCAUCAUUGAAAGAGUGCGUAAUAGCUCACUAGUCGAGUGACCCUGCGCCGAAAAUGUACCGGGGCUAAACAAGACACCGAAGCUGUGGAUUUACUUUAGAGUAAGUGGUAGGAGAGCGUUCUAUGUGCGGUGAAGGGGUACCGUAAGGAGCCUUGGAGCGCAUAGAAGUGAGAAUGCCGGUAUGAGUAGCGAAAGAUGGGUGAGAAUCCCAUCCACCGAUAGACUAAGGUUUCCAGGGGAAGGCUCGUCCGCCCUGGGUUAGUCGGGACCUAAGCAAAAGCCGAACGGCGUAUGCGAUGGAUAACAGGUAGAGAUUCCUGUACUUGGGAAGACGUUUGAGCAAUGGAGGGACACAGGAGGUAAGUCCACGCAGGCGGAUGGAAGAGCCUGUAGAAGCAGUAAGUGUGCGAGUGAGUCAAAUGCUUAGUCGCAAGAAGCAUGAGCUGUGAUCUGGAGCGAAAUAAAAGUAGCGAAGGUGGAUCAUCAAACUGUCGAGAAAAGCUUCUAGCGAGUCGAACCAACCCGUACCGCAAACCGACACAGGUAGUCAAGUAGAGAAUACUAAGGUGAGCGAGAGAACUCUCGUUAAGGAACUCGGCAAAAUGACCCCGUAACUUCGGGAGAAGGGGUGCACACGCAAGUGUGCCGCAGUGAAUAGGCCCAGGCGACUGUUUAUCAAAAACACAGGUUUCUGCUAAAUCGAAAGAUGAUGUAUAGGAGCUGACGCCUGCCCGGUGCUGGAAGGUUAAGAGGAGUGCUUAGCUUCGGCGAAGGUACGAAUUGAAGCCCCAGUAAACGGCGGCCGUAACUAUAACGGUCCUAAGGUAGCGAAAUUCCUUGUCGGGUAAGUUCCGACCCGCACGAAAGGCGUAACGAUCUGGGCACUGUCUCAACGAGAGACUCGGUGAAAUUAUAGUACCGGUGAAGAUGCCGGUUACCCGCGACAGGACGGAAAGACCCCAUGGAGCUUGACUGUAGCUUGAUAUUGAGUGUUUGUGUGACAUGUACAGGAUAGGUAGGAGCUUAAGAAUUGUGUACGCCAGUAUGCAAGGAGGCGUUGGUGGGAUACUACCCUUGUGAUAUGAACCCUCUAACUCGCGUGAAGAACACGGAAGACAGUGUCAGGUGGGCAGUUUGACUGGGGCGGUCGCCUCCUAAAGAGUAACGGAGGCGCCCAAAGGUUCCCUCAGAAUGGUUGGAAAUCAUUCAAAGAGUGCAAAGGCAGAAGGGAGCUUGACUGCGAGACCCACAAGUCGAGCAGGGACGAAAGUCGGGCUUAGUGAUCCGGUGGUACCGCAUGGAAGGGCCAUCGCUCAACGGAUAAAAGCUACCCUGGGGAUAACAGGCUUAUCUCCCCCAAGAGUUCACAUCGACGGGGAGGUUUGGCACCUCGAUGUCGGCUCAUCGCAUCCUGGGGCUGAAGUCGGUCCCAAGGGUUGGGCUGUUCGCCCAUUAAAGCGGUACGCGAGCUGGGUUCAGAACGUCGUGAGACAGUUCGGUCCCUAUCCGUCGCGGGCGUAGGAAAUUUGAGAAGAGCUGUCCUUAGUACGAGAGGACCGGGAUGGACACACCGCUGGUGUACCAGUUGUUCCGCCAGGAGCAUCGCUGGGUAGCUAUGUGUGGGAUGGAUAACCGCUGAAAGCAUCUAAGCGGGAAGCCAGCUUCGAGAUGAGAUUUCCCAAUCGCAAGAUUUAAGACCCCUGAGAGACGAUCAGGUAGAUAGGCUAGGAGUGGAAGUUCAGUGAUGAAUGGAGCGGACUAGUACUAAUCGGUCGAGGACUUAACCAAG